rnacentral:rRNA from 1 species
GGGGGAAUAUUGCACAAUGGGGGGAACCCUGAUGCAGCGACGCCGCGUGAAGGAAGAAGUAUCUCGGUAUGUAAACUUCUAUCAGCAGGGAAGAUAAUGACGGUACCUGACUAAGAAGCCCCGGCUAACUACGUGCCAGCAGCCGCGGUAAUACGUGGGGGGGACAAGCGUUAUCCGGAUUUACUGGGUGUAAAGGGAGCGUAGACGGCAUGGCAAGUCUGAUGUGAAAGGCAGGGGCUCAACUCCUGGACUGCUUUGGAAACUGUGGAUCUAGAGUGCGGAGAGGUAAGCGGAAUUCCUAGUGUAGCGGUGAAAUGCGUAGAUAUUAGGAGGAACACCAGUGGCGAAGGCGGCUUACUGGACGGUAACUGACGUUGAGGCUCGAAAGCGUGGGGAGCAAACAGGAUUAGAUACC